rnacentral:lncRNA from 1 species
AUUCCACAGGAGAGAAGAAAGCAGCCCCAGGAAGCCUGGCCUCGAGGACUGUGAGGUAUGGUGGGGACUUGUUGUGCCUUGGACUGGACAAGAGGCACCCUGGGCUCUGGACACAGCCGGAUCUUCAGACCAUUGCAUCUCUAGCCCAGGGCAGGCCCUUUAUCUUAUAGCCCAGCGGUGCCUCUCUCCUCACCUAGGAAACAAAGCCAACAGGAUCUGCACCACCUCCGCCUCCGGGACAUUGGAAGGACUAAAUAAGAUCACAGCCCUCAUUCCUAGAUGGAAUGAGAAAUGGUAACAACCACGAUCCUCCCAAGAUCUGCACCACAAGGGAAAAUCAGAACCUUCAGCUGCCGGAAGCACUGCGGCAGAAACAUAGGUCCCCAUCCAGGCUGAUCUGAGCUUGGCUUUCUGGAGCACACAAACCUCAAUGCACCAAACUGCUGCUGGAUCUCACCUUGCCAGGCCCACUGUGCUCAGACUCACACAUCGCUCCAUCCUCUGGAGGCUGCAGAGGCAAGAUCCACCAAGAAGGUGGUCUUCCUGUCCAGGAUGCUCUUCCCUGAGAGAAGUGUAUUUAAUCUUAAGUUCAGAUGUUUGUUUGUCUACCCACUUAAAACACCCUGUUGAAUAAAAAUUACUCAAGGAA